rnacentral:rRNA from 1 species
GACGAACGCUGGCGGCGUGCUUAACACAUGCAAGUCGAACGGUGAACUCCGCUUGCGGGGGGAUCAGUGGCGAACGGGUGAGUAACACGUGGGCAACCUGCCCUCAGCUCUGGGAUAACUCCAAGAAAUUGGGGCUAAUACCGGAUAUGACCGCUGACCGCAUGGUCUGGUGGUGGAAAGAUUUAUCGGCUGGGGAUGGGCCCGCGGCCUAUCAGCUUGUUGGUGGGGUAGUGGCCUACCAAGGUGACGACGGGUAGCCGGCCUGAGAGGGUGACCGGCCACACUGGGACUGAGACACGGCCCAGACUCCUACGGGAGGCAGCAGUGGGGAAUAUUGCGCAAUGGGCGAAAGCCUGACGCAGCGACGCCGCGUGGGGGAUGACGGCCUUCGGGUUGUAAACCUCUUUCAGCAGGGACGAAGCGAAAGUGACGGUACCUGCAGAAGAAGCACCGGCCAACUACGUG